AGGAAUGAAAUACAGUUUGGUUUUAAUGACACUUUUAAUUAGUUACGUUUUACGGAACUUCAGUGUGCACACGGAUAUGAAACUCAGUGACAUUAAGUUAAAAUUAGGUAUGUCAUUACACAAUACCGUGGGUUUUCCAAUAACCAUUCAAUCAAGAAAACAAUAGUAAUUUUGUACUUUAAUGAUGCCGAAAUGCUUUCCCGUUAAAUCAAUUUAAUAUUUAUAUAUAUACUUGAAUACUAAUACAAGUUACAAAUUAAAAUAUAACUAAAGUGUAUGUUUUUAUGAGUAUAAUUAUUAUUAUUGCAACUAAUUAUGUAGAAUAUUAUCGUGUAUGCAUUUUAAUUUUAAUUUUUAACCUCCCGUUAAGGGACUAUAACAAUUUUACCACAUUGCCUCGACCACGGAAACUAAGUGACAUUAAGUUUCAAAUAGAUGUAUCAUUACAUAUUAUCAAUGGUUUUCCCAAAACUAUUCAAUUAAGACAUAAAUCGUAUACUACAUGAAAUAUGAUUUUCAACUAUACCUCUCAUUUAUCAUUUAUUCAAAAAUCAGAAUUAAAACUAUAAUGAUUUCACGAUUUUAUAAACUAUUUUAAUUUUUGAACGAAUAGUUUUUGUCAUAUUACAAUUUAAGCCGGUUAAGAUAACGGGAGAUAAAGGACAGAUUAAGCACGAAAUCGGCGUUGAGCGGAAAGUGCACGGCAUCGUGAACAAAUUUAAUUUCUUUUCCUACUAAGUUAAAAUCUUUUAAAAAUAUUAUUAUUACAUUUAUGUAUACUAGACAAUUAUAAUUUACAUAGAAAAAUAAAUGGAAAUAUGUAUAUUUCGAGAUCAUUUUCUUUGUAAUUUUAUUUUAUUAAUAAGACCAGAGCAUACU